UCGAACGGAGCUGAGAGGAGCUUGCUUUACUUAGCUUAGUGGCGAACGGGUGAGUAACGCGUGAGUAACCUGCCCUGGAGUGGGGGACAACAGUUGGAAACGACUGCUAAUACCGCAUAAGCCCACGAUCCGGCAUCGGAUUGAGGGAAAAGGAUUUAUUCGCUUCAGGAUGGACUCGCGUCCAAUUAGCUAGUUGGUGAGGUAACGGCCCACCAAGGCGACGAUUGGUAGCCGGACUGAGAGGUUGAACGGCCACAUUGGGACUGAGACACGGCCCAGACUCCUACGGGAGGCAGCAGUGGGGGAUAUUGCACAAUGGGGGAAACCCUGAUGCAGCGACGCCGCGUGGAGGAAGAAGGUUUUCGGAUUGUAAACUCCUGUCGUUAGGGACGAUAAUGACGGUACCUAACAAGAAAGCACCGGCUAACUACGUGCCAGCAGCCGCGGUAAAACGUAGGGUGCAAGCGUUGUCCGGAAUUACUGGGUGUAAAGGGAGCGCAGGCGGACCGGCAAGUUGGAAGUGAAAACUAUGGGCUCAACCCAUAAAUUGCUUUCAAAACUGCUGGCCUUGAGUAGUGCAGAGGUAGGUGGAAUUCCCGGUGUAGCGGUGGGAUGCGUAGAUAUCGGGAGGACACCAGUGCGAAGGCGACUACUGGGCACCAACUGACGC
rnacentral:rRNA from 1 species